rnacentral:rRNA from 1 species
CCCUUAGAUGUUCUGGGCUGCACGCGCGCUACACUGAUGCGCUCAACGAGUUUUAACCUUGCCUGGAAAGGUUGGGUAAUCUUUUUAAAACGCAUCGUGAUGGGGAUAGAUUAUUGCAAUUAUUAAUCUUCAACGAGGAAUUCCUAGUAGACGCGAGUCAUAAGCUCGCAUCGAUUAAGUCCCUGCCCUUUGUACACACCGCCCGUCGCUACUACCGAUUGAACGUUUUAGUGAGGCAUUUGGACCGACGCAUCUCAGUUUAACCGCUGGUUUGUGUUGGAAAGACUUCCAAACUUGAGCGUUUAGAGGAAGUAAAAGUCGUAACA